AUGACUGUAGGUGAAAGCUUACAUCUCUUCGGAGGCACUUUUACGAGGUGCUGCAUGGUUGUCGUCAGCUCGUGCCGUGAGGUGUCGGGUUAAGUCCCAUAACGAGCGCAACCCUACCUUUAGUUGCCAUCAGGUAAUGCUGGGGACUCUAAAGGAACUGCCUACGCAAGUAGUGAGGAAGCGGGGAUGACGUCAAAUCAGCACGGCCCUUACGUCCAGGGCUACACACGUGCUACAAUGGCCGAUACAGAGGGCAGCUACCUGGUGACAGGAUGCAAAUCUCCAAAGUCGGUCUCAGUUCGGAUCGGAGUCUGCAACCCGACUCCGUGAAGUUGGAUUCGCUAGUAAUCGCGCAUCAGCCAUGGCGCGGUGAAUACGUUCCCGGGCCUU
rnacentral:rRNA from 1 species